UAACUACCUACACUAUUCAGUAUUUUCAAGUACUGUUGUAUCAAUCAUUCUGUGUCGUUAAAAGAAAAACUAUGAGUAGAAUUAUUAUUUUCAUUUUCACUUUCUUGAUUUGCUACACCGUAGGAUCUGCAGUAGAUGAGCCAAACUCAUUAGGAGAUUCAACAGCACGUGAAACAGUUGAAGGAAAUGCAGCUCGUGUGAUUCGUCAAACCUCAAACGAGUGUGCCGAGGGUAUACGGUUCAAUGGUCAGAAAAACUGUAUUUCUCGUUGUUCACUAGGAUGUGCUUCUGAAAAAUGUGGCGGAUUCAGUUUAUGCGAAAUGCUACCCCGAAGAUCUUCGAAAGGAAUAAGUAAUACUUAUAUAUGUCAUUGUGUGAAGGGCAAAGGGAGAGGAAAGUAAUCUAAAAUACACACAUAUUGAAAAUCUUA